rnacentral:rRNA from 1 species
UACGUAGGGCGCAAGCGUUAUCCGGAAUUAUUGGGCGGAAAGAGCUCGUAGGCGGUUUGGCGCGUCUGCCGUGAAAGUCCGGGGCUCAACUCCGGAUCUGCGGUGGGUACGGGCAGACUAGAGUGAUGUAGGGGAGACUGGAAUUCCUGGUGUAGCGGUGAAAUGCGCAGAUAUCAGGAGGAACACCUAUGGCGAAGGCAGCUCUCUGGGACGGUACUGACGCUGAGACGCGAAAGCGUGGGGAGCGAACAGG